rnacentral:rRNA from 1 species
UACGUAGGGGGCAAGCGUUGUCCGGAAUCAUUGGGCGUAAAGAGCGUGUAGGCGGUUCGGUAAGUCGGCUGUGAAAGUCCAGGGCUCAACCCUGGGAUGCCGGUCGAUACUGCCGGACUAGAGUUCGGAAGAGGCGAGUGGAAUUCCCGGUGUAGCGGUGAAAUGCGUAGAUAUCUGGAGGAACACCGGUGGCGAAGGCGGCAUCCUGGACCGACACUGACGCUGAGGAGCGAAAGCCAGGGGAGCAAACGGG